CUACAUGAAGCUGGAGUUACUAGUAAUCGCAGAUCAGAAUGCUGCGGUGAAUGCGUUCCCGGGUCUUGUACACACCGCCCGUCACACCACGGGAGUUGGAGACGCCCGAAGCCGAUUAUCUAACCUUGUGGAAGAAGUCGUCGAAGGUGGAAUCAAUAACUGGGGUGAAGUCGUAACAAGGUAGCCGUAUCGGAAGGUGCGGCUGGAUCACCUCCUUUCUAAGGA
rnacentral:rRNA from 1 species